GGCUUAAAAUACUUCUGUCGAAGUACACGUGGAAGAGGGUGUUGUCGUUUACACCAACUUCAUCAUGGAUUUCUGGAAUGCCUGGCAGGGACAUUAUACGUCUGCUUAGUGUGUGUGGCCGGCAUUAACUGCCGACUCAUUCUGGAUAUGUGUAGUGUUUUUAUUUUUCUCAAUUGGACUGUAAGUAUAGUCUUCGGACAAAUAUCACAGGUGGAGAGGGGUAAGUCUUAUUACCAAAGACAUCUUAUUAUUAGAUUCAAAGUUAACUCGUGCCCAAUAUGUUGGCCAGUGACUGUGGACAGUGGGCAGAGAUACUGAAUUGUUAAAUGAUUUACAUAAAUCAUUCAUGAUUAUACUGUGUACAUGACUUCAACUAGUUUUCUUUGUCACAGAUUUGCUGUUUAAAUAAACAUGGCGGAAUUCUGGCAAGUUGGCAACAUAACAUGUUUCAAUAAGCAAAUACCCUAUCUUAUUAAGGUGGUACAUUUAUCAUGGGUAGGGCUGCUUGGUUUUCCCAAGGGACAUAAUUCAGUGGUAAUGUAAUAAAGGGGAGAUAACUCUGGCAGGAGAUGGAUAGAUCCAAGGAAGUUAUGUGUUGGCCUGCACGGAAUUCCCAUGGGGCUCAUAUUGGUUAAUAGGCAACUGCUUGGAGCACGGCGUGCUUUGCACAAGGGUUGUGUUCGCCUGGUUUCCCAGGGAACGGUCCUAUCUGGUUGCUGUUUUGUCCGGUCACCAUGCUGGUGGGCAUACAGCUGGAGAUAUCAAUCUUGCCAGAGUUCCAGAUAUGCUUAUUGAUACAUGUUACAGCCAUCUAGUUUUUGAAUAAAUCUGUGGCCUUCAAUCCCA